rnacentral:rRNA from 1 species
CAGUAAUUUGGCCUAUGAUCAGAUGUCGAGGUCAUUCCUGCUAGCUAGCAGUCACCUGUCAUCCUGAGUAAGUUUGACUGUAGCUGUACAUGACUUUCAUCGCCGCUUCUGAUGUCUAGUAACUGGGGCCAACCGUCAAGUACCGGUACUCAUCAUCAUUAUCAACGGAAUGAGGAGGGUGGUAUGGGUGUGUUGGUUUCCCCGUCUCUUUCUUCGAGGUGAGUCUUUAGGUCGUUUAGUGGGUACGGUCCAGACUAGACCAACACACACGAGAACUAGCAGAGAAAGGUACUACUACCACAACGACAACGACCGCAGCCCCUCAAGUAGAUGUUACCCAAGCGGCCGUCGUUGGAGACGGAGUUGCCACGUCGAAGGCAUUGUGCCCUCCCGCAGGAAUGAGAGUGCAGCUUGUUGAAGUUGUAGGUCCCCGUGCCGAAGAAAGGACUUCGACAAGGGGACUAGCCAGGGGUACCCUUCAGGUACUCGAAGAGCUGGUGAAAGCACAAGCGGUAGUGCGGUAUGGUGAGACCAGCAAGGCCGCUACCCAACCGUAAACAAUAGACGCGGCGGGGUCUAAACAGGUGACGUGAGGGCCCCGGUAUGAACCCGGAGCAGCUAGGUAUGUUGUUCAAGGGUCGAUGUUUGGGCAAGAAGCGGUAUCUCGAACUGUGGCGGUUUCUGGAUCUCAAGCUUCUAUAUCUGUUAUUGGUACAGCGCCAACUAGAGUUAUCGGAGUUCAGACGGUCGAGAUCGUGGCGCCCGAUGAUGUAGCUGUAGCUGCUACUGUGCCUCCCAAUACGAUGACUCCGUUCGAAGUUCCGCAACUCCGAAAGAUUACCUUUAGGCUACGUCCAUACCCACCUGAUAUUGUCGAUGUUGCCGGUUGAGCUACAGCGCGAACGAGGACAGGGGUACAGAUUCGGGUCAGACGGCGAAAACAGAAUGAGGCCGAUGAGACAGUUGGAACGGUUCAAAAACCCCAAAUUGCUGUGUCAAGUACAACCGAAGAGGCGGCGCUGCCCACUACUCGUACCGCCGUGAGUAGUCUAAGAACCUACCUCGAAGUCGUACUCACCUGGCCGCUUUGGUGAACUGAUGAGCAACGACGGUGAUUUCGUUCUCUUCCUAAAGUUCUUUUUUGAGUAGUUUACCGACGAACGUAGAAGCAAGUAGUAUGACGAACGUCCAUAUUAUUAUCGGACAGAAGAAUAAGCUGCCACCGCGUUCUGGUCUGUACUUCUCUCCUGCCUAGUUCUGACCCUCCGACUCGAGCCGGGGGCGGCGAAGCGUAUGUUCCUGGAGGCGUCCCGUUGGGUACCGAAGGUACUUUACGUCGAAGAGCCCUUUCCGCCGAAACCCGUUCAGAUAUCUCCUCAGGAACGGAGGAGUCCGUAUCUGUAGCGCCACUUCGCCCAGAGGAGUCUAAGUUCCGUCCCCGACUGUCUUAAGUGCCGCCUCUAGUAGUAGGAACCGGCGUAUGCCGUGGCCUUGGAACAGGCGGACCAGCCGAUAACGGCCGUGUUCCUGCUCGAAGAGGACCAGAUGCUCAUGUACGGGUUACCGUCAGACCUAUCGAUGGACGUGCGGGUCUGAUCGUCGGUGCACUGCGAGACGACCGGAGUCUCCGAAGUGUAGUAGUUUCCACAGCGUAGGCCCGAAGACAUGGAGGUGCUCCUGACCCUCGUCCAACAGAAUGUGGCGCUGUAGUUCCGGUCGUUGUAGGAGGAACUGCCCCUCUACUUGCCGGCCGACCCGCUGAAGCCGGAACGUUCCGACGUGCUGGUACCACGACUGCGCGUGUGGUGUGUACACCGGCCGUGUUCCCCGAUGGAGCGGGGACUUAAUUGCUCCAAACCGUUCCGCUGGUUCCGGUGACUACACAUGCGAAAGCCACGAAAGUAAGACCUUCACUGGACGCCCUCCGCCGGCCACCCCGAGUUGCAGGCACCGCUCGAAGACCACGAGCAGGUCACCCACUCUUUGUGCACCCGCUCGACGAGACCGAACUAACAACUGUGACACCUAGGCUCCGACCUACUGAAGCAAUGGUUGCUCCGCCUCGACCACGAGUUCGAUCCCGACAACACGAGCGUGGGGAAUGGACGCCGCUCCGGGCCUUACGCGGAGCAAUACGUGAUGGAGCUGCCCCUGAACGGAAACGGACUCAAGAGAGGGCCUAUAGAGUUGUAAUGUCUACAGCUAGUCCAAGAACUGCUUCACGGAGGGAGCCACAGCUUGUGGUAAUGUCCGGACAGCCCACCGUCUACUUUAUAAAUCCGGCCGGUUCUUUUACGACCGCUUAGUUACAUAGACGAACACUAUAGGGGUCGCAGUCAUCUCGCGAAGGGUUAGAACUCCUCACUGGAUCGUCAUUUAAUAUAACAUCGGCGUUCAAUGUCGUGAUAUGGCAUACUGGACGUGUGUAAAAAAAAGAAAAAAAACUCUUUUCCUGGACGUGUGUAAACUGUUUUUUUUUAGUAGUCAGUUUCCGAACGUGUGUGUAUCUCAACUUUUCUUUGGUUUGUUCACUAACUUAUCCAGGGUUUUCGUUCCGGCCGGGACAAAAAAUUUGAGAUCGUCGUGGUAUAUAUACAGGUAUAAACAACAAAUUGCACCUGACAAAAAAAAAAGAACCGUUAGACUGCGGGAGUUUCCCCCGAGUUGAAAUAAGUAUAGCCGUAGGGUUUUGUCACAUGUCCCUCAUCAAAGGGACUUCCUUUCCUUUACCGAAGUUUUCGGUAAAACUUUAAUGUAGAUCUCCGAAAUGACGUAGCCUAUCUCGUUGAUCUCCUACUAGACGUACUCUUUCGGAAAAAACGAUCUCUCACUCCUUCCUCUAACAAUUAGGAACCUUAUACACACUGGAACUUUCUCAAUCCGAGCUACAUUAUAACAUCUUUAGACGUUCAUUAUCAGACUAAGAGGUUACAGGACCUAAGACUUCACUUAAGGAACUAAGUCGUCGAAGUUGGUUUCAGGACGUUAGUCUUCUUUCUCUGGCGUAAGGUCGGGUUCUGAAACUGUUGGCUUCGUCGAUCUUCAUCCGGGUAGCGAAGACGGACGUUUUGUCUUUUGUGUAAGCUCCCGGCGGCGAACAAACUUCUACCUUACUAAUCUUAGAAGUAAAAAGUCCUUAUGAGGUUUAAUACUUCGAAGUAAAGGACGGUGCCGACCUAAUUUUCGGCGUAGUUGUAUUCGGUCUUCUGGACGUACAACGUUCCUGAUUUAAAACCAAACAAACCCUUUGACGACGAGUAUUUCUCUAGUUGAUUCCAGACUCACAGACUGAAGAAAAUUGGUUCCAGACUGACUUCAUUGAACAAACGACGAACACUUGUACGUCACGAUGUCGUCGACCGUUUAGCCGUUAUCAGUGCCACGCAUUCCUUAGCGAAUGAUGUUAAAGGUAGGGCUAAUCGGCGGUAGUGGCCUUUCCCCCCUUCUUCUAAGUGGAACAGCUACGCCUCCUCUGGUACCACCUUCCGCCGUCACUCCCCUGAGCGACCUCUGCCCUCGCCGUCGGCCACGCCCUUGUUUACACGUCCAUGCCCUCUCGCCACCGUACGGUGUUCUCGUCCGGCCGCUUGCCUUCCUCUUCGAGCUCUAGCGGCGGCGGCGUCCGGCGCGGCCUCGAGGCACCCGCCACCAUCCCUGAUCCCUCCGCGUCCUUACCCGGUCGCGCUGUCGGAUGGUUUGGAGCGGGGGCCCGAAAAUCACCCGGUCGUCACGUCCAUCUGUUACCCGAUGUCGAGCGCCUCUUAGUUCGGGAGUUUUUUUAUUUAUAGGGAAGUAGUAGUGUUUUUGUUUUUUUGUUUUCGUUCUCCUAGGGG